AACAUGGUACAGAUAUAUACAAGCAAAAGAUACCCCGGUCCAGCCUGAGCCCUAUCAGGGAUAGGAAUAGGCUUAUGCGUAGCAUCACCGUGAAGUACCACCACAGCAGUGCACUCUUGAACAUGGCACUCGCUGCAUGGUAGUACACGGUAACCCCCACUCAUAGGCCUAUCUCUACCUCUAUACAUGCAGAAUAAAUAAGUAAAACUAUAUACAGAUAUAUACAAGCAAAAGAUACCCAGGUCCAGCCUGAGAGCCCUAUCAGGGAUAGGGAUAGGCUUAUGCGUAGCAUCACCGUGAAGUACCACCACAGCAGUGCACUCCUUGAACAUGGCACUCGCUGCAUGGUAGUACACGGUAACCCCCACUCAUAGGCCUAUCUCUACCUCUAUACAUGCAGAAUAAAUAAGUAAAACUAUAUACAGAUAUAUACAAGCAAAAGAUACCCAGGUCCAGCCUGAGCCCUAUCAGGGAUAGGGAUAGGCUUAUGCGUAGCAUCACCGUGAAGUACCACCACAGCAGUGCGCUCUUGGACAUGGCACACGCUGCAUGGUAGUACACGGUAACCCCCACUCAUAGGCCUUUCUCUAACCCUAUACAUGCAGAAUAAAUAAGUAAAACUAUAUACAGAUAUAUACACAAGGCAACGACAAUGUACAAGAUAUAUACAAGCAAAAGAUACCCCGGUCCACCCUGCCCGCCUUUAACAGGGAUAGGGAUAGGCUUAUGCGUAGCAUUACCGUGAAGUACCACCACAGCAGUGCGGUCUUGGACAUGGCACUCGCUGCAUGGUAGCACACGAUAACCCCCACUCAUAGGCCUAUCUCUAACCAUAUACAUGCAGAAUAAAUAAGUAAAACUAUAUACAGAUAUAUACACAAGGCAACGACAAUGUACAAGAUAUAUACAAGCAAAAGAUACCCCGGUCCACCCUGCCCACCCUGCCCGCCUUUAACAGGGAUAGGGAUAGGCUUAUGCGUAGCAUCACCGUGAAGUACCACCACAGCAGUGCACUCUUCAACAUGGCACUCGCUGCAUAGUAGAACACGAUAACCCCCACUCAUAGGCCUAUCCCUAACUCUAUACAUGCAGAAUAAAUAAGUAAUACUAUAUACAGAUAUAUACAACAGAUAUACACCUGGUCGGUGUCUCUAUCACUAAUAAAAAAAAAAACCCCAACC
rnacentral:lncRNA from 1 species